GCCGGAGUAGCUCAGCUGGUAGAGCAUUCGCCUUGUAAGCGAAAGGCCGUCGGUUCGAGUCCGACCUCCGGCU
rnacentral:tRNA from 1 species